UAUGUGCUACGGCGGGAGAUGCAGGGAGAACAUCCAACUUAACAGCAGAAGCGGUCACAGGGCCAGGUCUUGCUUGUCAAGGCUUAGGCUUAAAACACGUUCAUAAAAUCAAGCAUUUUUUUCUGGUUUUUGAUUUAACCUGAUACUACUAAUGCUUGUGGCAAGGAGAGCCUUCCUGCCAUACUUCUGCUGCUAGAGAAUGCCAGCAGAUGUGUAACUAUCCAUCCUUCUGCUCUUGUUCGUAUUUAGCCCUAGGUCUAAAUUUGUAUGGAUUGCAAGAAGUGCUUUAAGUUUUGACAGCUUUUAAUUCACUGUUUCUUUGUACUCUGCCUGUAUGUUAUAGUACAGCUAACCCCUGUUUUCAGUAUCAAACUUUAAAACUUUUGCAGUUUUCUACACUCCUGGCCUCAGAAAUCAUGAACUUCUUAGCUCUGCUGUGGCAAGGAAAAACUGAAAAAUGCAAUAUUGUUGUAGCUGUAAGAUCAAAGAACAGGAAAAAAUAAACAGAAGUACCCAAAAUGUAUUUAAAAUAUGACAGCUCAAAGACUGCCCUGGGAUGAGCUGUUUUAUCAGUAGUACCAGUUCAACAAUUGUUGCAUUUAUGGGGUUUCCCCUCCCUUUUCCCUGCUUACUGUCCCUCUGACACACACCUAAGUGUUCCCAUGACUGGAACAUCUCUGAAAGUGAUGUAAGAUGAGACUAAAAUUGUGUUGCAAAGAACUACAUAGAAAUAGGAAGAAAAGACUUCUUCCCCAUGGGUGCUGGAAAAACUUGUGAAACCAUUUGGACUAUAGUGGGAAACAAGGGGAAAGAACACAUCCAGCUGUGUGAAUGACUUCAGUUCUGCUCUGAGUGUUACAGGUAAUGCAGAACUGAAAUCAACUGCACAAUCCUUCCUAUUCCUGUGGUUAGGCCUUCCCCUUCCAAGUGGUUUGGGCAGGCCUGUGCUCUCCCCGAGCCCCUGGACACUGCAGAGUGUCAGAACAUUUAUUUCUUGGGGGUUCUCCCGCUCAGCCCCCCUCGGGCUGGCCUGCUGGGCUGGCUGACACCACGCAGUGCUAAUGCAGCUGCCACAAGUAAAUCACAGCUUUCACUGGUUACUCACCCAGCUGAGUAACUAACUACUGGGGCACGGCAUUUCCCAAUCCUCAUGUGCUAAAGCCAGCUGGGCUUUCUCCAACCUUUUAUUCUGAUCCAAAGGAGCACUCCAGAACAGAAAAAUACACUCUCAUAAGAAACACGAGAAAUCACAGACCCCACUCAACUCAGAAACACCCAGAAUGUGUGUGCCAUGUACAGACUGUUAAACCCAGCACCUCUCAGGUGUGCUCAGGAGCAAAGUGCAGCACUCUCUGACCCUCAGGUGUGCUCAGGAGCAGAGAGCAGCACUCUCUGAGCCUUGGGUGUGCUCAGGAGCAGAGUGCAGCACUCUCUGACCCUCAGGUGUGCUCAGGAGCAGAGUGCAGCACUCUCUGACCCUCAGGUGUGCUCAGGAGCAGAGUGCAGCACUCUGAGCCUCGGGUGUGCUCAGGAGCAGAGUGCAGCACUCUGAGCCUCGGGUGUGCUCAGGAGCAGAGUGCAGCACUCUGAGCCUCGGGUGUGCUCAGGAGCAGAGUGCAGCACUCUGAGCCUCGGGUGUGCUCAGGAGCAGAGUGCAGCACUCUGAGCCUCGGGUGUGCUCAGGAGCAGAGUGCUGCACUCUCUGAGCCUCGGGUGUGCUCAGGAGCAGAGAGCAGCACUCUCUGAGCCUCGGGUGUGCUCAGGAGCAGAGAGCAGCACUCUGACCCUCGGGUGUGCUCAGGAGCAGAGUGCAGCACUCUCCGACCCUCGGGUGUGCUCAGGAGCAGAGUGCAGCACUCUCUGAGCCUUGGGUGUGCUCAGGAGCAGAGAGCAGCACUCUCUGACCCUCAGGUGUGCUCAGGAGCAGAGUGCAGCACUCUCUGAGCCUCGGGUGUGCUCAGGAGCAGAGUGCAGCACUCUCUGAGCCUCGGGCUCCCGAGGGCACUGAGCAAUGUCUGCUGCCAUGGGCUCACUCUCCCUUCAGAUCUGUGAGAGGUGGGAAGAGCAGAGCCCUGCCCAGACACUGCCUGAAGCUGUGCUGAGAGUUCAUGAGAGCUGGGCAGGCUAUACAGUCCAAAGUGCCUGUUUACUGAUCAACCACAACUGUCAGACUAUGACAGAAGUACAGAGGCACUGGGGAGCUACCUGACAGAAUUACAGUCAGAAACCUAGCAUGCAUUUUUGUUUUUAUGUCAAAGAUCAAUUUCUUCAAAUAUGUAAGAAAAACAAGUUUACAAACAGAGAGACAUUCCAUACUAAGAAAAUACAUUGACAUUCUUGCUUUCACAGCUACUCUCAGAAUAUACAACUGGAGGGAAACGUGUUCACAGAAAUAACCUGCUGUAACCAAUCUCCAGCCAGUCUGCUUUGAACCUGAGCUGCACCACAUCUUGCUUAAUGGACAAUUCAUGUAACACUUAAACUUUGCUGCUUUGAACUCUGUGUGCACUCACACAAGAGCACAUUCCACUGAGAUGUGGGGAACAGAAUACAGGCUAGGAAAUGUUCUCUCUCUUCCUCCAGCCUGCCACUAAGCAUGGCCCACGACAGCUCCCAUUGGUCCUGAGAUGACACAGGCAGCUCAAGAGGCCCAUGCUCCCUGAAAAGGCCACCAACCAUGACCUGGAUUCCAGCACACCGAGGGGAAAAGAAAAAACUUAAAGCAUCUACUUCCUAAGAACCCUGUACAGGCUGCUGGGGAAGCAGCUGUGGGGGACAAGGGUGUCCCAAAACUAGGAUCUGGUCUGUGUGGCUGAGAUCAGCCAGGCAAGAAUGGUAUGACAAAGGCAAAUAAGGCAUUUGAGGUAUGACAACAGAUAAAAACAUGUCAGACCUAGAGUGGAUAUGACAUGGCUUUGUAUGUGGAAAGGUGAGAGGCAGAAUAACCUCCAAGCAUUUACACAAGAGCUUUCUACUACUGUAAUGUUUGUCAGACCCUCAGGCACUGCUGGAAACCCUCAUGUACAAACCCCCAUGCUCUGUGACCCACAGGUACAUUGAGGCUACAUGUCAAAGGGAAAUUCCAUCAAAACAAAUGCCUCAAAUAAAACAGAUGACACUUAAAACCACUAGCCUGGGCUAAAUUAACCCUUGGUGUAAUUUGCUUUCUAAUACAAUGAAAGUUACUUUAUAUGAAUAUUUUCCAUUUAGCUGCCCUGACCUUACCCUAUAGUUUGCAACAUCUGUAAU